UUGGAUAGUAUGUUCCAGGCCGGACUAUCCCCCUGACUUCAUACGGGCCUUCCUAGUUUGGCGCAAGUUUUCCUUGGUUCUAAGAUUGUGAAACAGCAGCUCGCCGAAGUACUAAGUCCUCUACUCUGAAGGCUUUGCUCUUGACCCAAAAGUUAUAGUAGCGGACUACUUUUUGCUUGUACGCUGCCAUCUGAACUUGAGCUGUCUCUCGCUUUUCUUCUAACAAGUCGAGGUUGGCCUUGAGAUCCUGUG
rnacentral:lncRNA from 1 species